CCCUGAGGUCAGGCUGACCAGAUGACAGCUCCCUGAUUAAGUGCUGCUACAUGGGGAGGAUCAGGCAGUUUCGGUGGCGUGCUCUUUGGGUCAUACUGGAGCACGCUGUAAUUUCACAGUUACCACUGUUAAGGGCUGCCUUGCCACGUUUUAUGCUGACAUCAGCCAGUUAUCAGACUGGGACUGACUGGGAGCAGCGGAACCUCAUGUCUAUAGCAGAAGGUCUGUGCUUCAAAGCCUAUGGAAAAAGAAAUCAGCACUGGCCACCCUAAAGGGAGACAAAAACAACAGAAGACUAAAAAACAGGAAAUACGUGCAAGGAAUCACUGUGGAGCGUGAAGGAAACAGGGUGCAUGAUGUAUGAGGGGAAAACAUUAUGAGUUAGCUCUGCUUAUACAGAAAAUCACUGUGAGAUUUAUUAGUAGCUCCCCAGGAACAACACCAAGCCCUGUAUAAGUGGGCAGUGAAUGAAAACAGGAGGUCUGGUACUGGACUGCUAACGAGUUACAUCCUCCCAUGCUCAAUGUGUGCAUUCAGAUAUUAAGACAUACACAGAUUCAAAAUAGCAAAAGCCCAUGAUGAAUUAGUUCUAAAAAAAGUUGCUAGGUUCCUAGAAGACAAUUUAACGCCAAGCUUUUUUUUGUCCUAUGGAGAAGGUCUAAUAAUUUCUUAAUACCCUAUGAAGAAUUUACCUAAUUUCACAAACUACAGUUGCACAUAAACACGCUGAAACAGACUGUAAAUUUCAGAAAUGAUCUGCAAUUAAAAAUUUUACAUGAACCUUGUCUUGCUGGCAUUUCAGUCAAGAAGAGAUUACUUUCAGUGUUCUUCACAGGAGCUGAAAAAAGUUUAAAACAUGUAGUGAUAAUAACUCUUUAUAUUCAGUAAUGAAAAUGAAAAGGCACCACUGUGUUAGCAGUCUGCUAAGAGCUGGGUAACAUAGAAGACCUGAAAUUCACUGAAAAACCAACAACCAAACAAACUCAAAAGCCCACAGAAGCCCAGAACUGGCUUGCUGGAGAAAAGCCCCAUAGCACAUUUGCUGUGAUGCAAUAUCAACAGAUAUUUAUGCAUCGUCAAAUAUUAAUUAUGACAGAGACAUAAGCAUCGUGCCUUGAAAAAAUAUUUUGUUUGAGGAUUGUGCACAGAUUAUUAAAAGGUCAAAGCAAACAGGAAAUUAUUCAUAUCACAGGACUUUGGAAUCUCCUGCCACUUAAAUGGAUGAACAUACUGUGCCUCAUCACCUCCAAUUAUGAUGGGAAUGAUUUAAACGCGUAUUAUCUUAUUCAAGCAACUGUGAAUGCAAAAGAUACAAAAGAUCAAAGGAUAAAAUACGUGCUAGAAGACCUGUAAAAGUGCUUCCAAAGCGCAGCAUGCUUUUAGGGCCUGGGGUGGAAAGCUCAAAUGACAAAUGGAAACCAAAGGCUUUAAAGUCCUUAGCAAAUACUAAAUAUCAAUUUGUAAUUGAAACACUUGUGGGAAAAACCACUUUGACACAAUGGAUGGUGCACGAUGGAACAAAAGAUCUUAAAGGCAGAAUACAAGGCCUUGGGGACCCCAGUAGUAUACCCGAAGACUAAAUGACAGAUCUGAAAACUGUAACUUCAUUCAGGCUACCGGAUGCACCACAAACAGAAAGUUGAGCAGACGAAACCAGAGAAUCAAGGGGAAGUAUUACAGUGAUGCAGGAAACCCAGUGGAAAAGUAAUAUUUUCAAACCCAAGGGAACAAAAAACUAUGUGUAACUAUAUAUAUUGUAUAACUGAGGAGGAUUAGGUGAAAGACAAGGAAUAAUCCUCUCAUGCCAGGAAAAUUCAGUCAUCUAAUUCAAACUCCUGAUCCAGAAGAAAAUAUUUUGGUUUGUUUGCAAGAGUUUUGGCUUACAUGUUGUCAUGAGGAGAUGACAGAAGAUUAUACUUAAUGUUGCUAUCCAGGACAUUAAGUCUGAGCACUGUUUGGAGACAGAUGUCACCAAGAAAAACUCAAUCUGUUGUAGGGAAAAUUCUUGCCUGCAGAAGUAGGGCUGGUUUUAUCUUUCAACCAUUUCAGAAGUUUUGUGAUUUUGCAGAAAUGAAUACCAUUGGACCCUGUUCUAAUGCAGGUCUCCAGGCAUUAGCGCAGUGGAAAUACAGAAAUAAUUGGAAAUCAGUACCUCAGCUUGGUAUUAAAGUGGCUUGCUCAUUUACUGGCACUGUUUCAUAUCAAUUGAGAGGUAAGGAAAAAGAUUAUGAACAUUAGCUGUAGAUUCCCGUUGCAAUUUUUGCAAGGGUAUAAGGGUAGUUUUAGCAUCAUUACAUUUUGACUGUGCCCAUCUAUAUUUUGGCUUCAGAGAUUGUAUUUUGCCUUUGCUUUCUCUUCUAAAUUGUUGUUCAAGGUUGAUGUGUUACAUGAUUUCUGAUUGGCUUCUACCUCAGAGCUGCACUUCAGCAAUUGUUAGAGCCUCCCCCAAGGUUUAUAUAUAACUUUCAGAAGAAAGGGAUUAUACAAAUACAUUAUAAAAUCAUUAUAAUUGUUUAUGAUGGGCUUGGUAGGAAGAAGUACUGACUACCUGCACCUCUUAAAAAAGAGUUGCAACACAUCCCCAGCGUGCCUCAACUGGAAGUUUUGUAAUAAUAACAUUACAAACACUAGAGAAAUGUGAUGAAAGUGCAAAAGCAUUACUCAACCAUGCUACUGCAAAUGCUUCCAAAACCCUGAAGUAGUGCAGUUUUUAUAGGGGACGAUCUAAUGAUGCACACUGUUUGUUAUUAUGCUGCCAUGGCCACCUAGCGAGGAAAGUGCUUAAAAGAAAGUGAAUAUAGACGGCACACCUACACCAGCCUUGGCAUCGGUCCUCUGUUGGACGUGGAAACAAAGGUCUUUUGCCGAGUAUGUUGGUGGAUAAAUUAAGCUGUGCUCCUGAAGGAGAGGAGGAUGUCACAUUCCUUGAGCUGUAUUUAUUUUGUAAUCUCAUACAUUCAGUGAUGCCCAAACUUUGGAGACACUUCAGCCAGGUGCUCCAUCUGCUGGAGGUCCCACCACGGACAAACAGCCCAUCCUGUGCCAAAUGCCCAUUUCCACUGCCUCCUUUUGUCACAGUCAUGCUACGUUAAAGUAGCUGCUACAUGGAUUCUCUCAUAGGUUUGCAAUAUUCCUAUCUUAUCAGCUGGCUUUUGUGUUUGGGCAACCCUUGACCCACAUGGUUAUUACCACUAUGAGUACUGCGGCUUUUUUUUGAUUGGAAACCGAUUACUUAACAUGCAAACAACAAAGACGUAGGACUGGGAGCGUGUAAUUGACUGCUUGACUGAGGAGAUCACAGGAACGCUAACAUGACGAACCUCUGAGUCACGGUGAGUCUCUUGGAGAGGCUGAGAGGAAAGGAAACUCACAUAUGUAGUGAAAACUUCAGUCACCACCAAGGCAGGUUACAUAUGUCCAGACAUGGUGCUAGGAUUGAAGGUUUGGAUGUCAUAAAUAACUUCUCCAUUAAACGGGUAGCUUGUGACAAGUGGAAGAACAAUUCUUCAUUUUGUCCUGACUUUGAAAACACUUUUUUAUUUUUUAUUUUUAUUUUUUACUGUGAAUGUGGUCCAACACUGGAACAGGUUGCCUAGAGUGGUUGUGGAAUCUCCACCUGUGGAGAUAUUCUAAACCUGACUGGACAUGGUCCCGAGCAACCUGCUCUAGCUGACCCUGCUCGAGCAUGGUGUUGGACCAGACAAUCUCCAAAGGUCCCCUUCAACUUCACUAAUUCUUUAAUACUGCAAAAAUGUGGAGCUCCACUGAAAUGAGGAAAAUACAAAUGAAUAUACACUACAGCAAGUAUAUACAAAAGCAAAAUAAUGCAAAACUUUAAAAAAUGUAAGGAACAAAUAACAAAACACACACAAAAAAACUGAUAAUAAAUUCCUUAUCAAACGUGUCAGAAGAAGGAAACUUACCAAAGAAGCCAUGAUCAGUCAAGUUAUACAAAGGAAGUCAGGAAAGACGUGGUAGUACAUUCAGAAUAAACAAACCAAAACAAAACAAACAAGAAGACAUCUAAAAAGGAGUUUGUUUGUUUGUUUGUUUUUCCCCUGUGAUUCUGUUUAAAAAUACUAAAAGGACAUCCAUAGUGAAGAGCUCUGCUGUGGUUGUUACCACUGCAAAAUGACUAAGUGGGCAGGAUUUCAGAUGCAUAAACACUGGUUAAAAUGUAGGAAUCAAAGGAUAGGAAUUAAGAGGCAAUGGAAGGAAGUAGAAAAAAUUACAAUACAUAAUUCUAUGAAAAUAUCAGCACAGGCCUACGUGGUGGCCAAUAAAACAAACAGACCAUUAGAAAAUACUAGAAAAUACCCAUAGAAUAAAACAGAAAACACACCAUUCCUUGGGGACACUCCUAUUUUGUGUACUUUGUAUAGUUCUAGUCUUCUCAUCUGAAAAAGGAUCCAGGAGGACAGUCACUGUACAGGAAGUGAAAACAGGAUAAUUAAAAUUAUAAAGACAUCCAUAUGAGGAAUGAUUAAAUAGAUCAGGAUUCCUCUGUCUGAAAAAACAGAACUAUGAGAGGACGUGAUGGUGAUCUAUGGGAUCACGUGUGGCAUAGAGUAAAUUAAUAGACAGUUGCUCACUGUCACUUCUAAUAUGAGAAGGGAAAUAAAUUAAAGUAGCAGGUGGGAAAUAAAACUAAAAGAAGGAUGUCUAUGCAGCUAAGCUGUGCAACUCUUUGUGGCAGGAGGCUCUAGAUGGUAUACGUUAUUAUGGGUUCAAAAUACAUGGAGGAGAAAGCAUCUUUGAUGAAGAAAAAUGCAGCUACUGUUGAAGAGAACUGCAGCUAUUAUGUAUGAUGACACCAUCACCACAGGCUCCAAACGCCCUGGGUCACAAAGUGCUGAAGGCUGCAGUAACAUCCUGGGGACGUACCAUUACUUGCUCUUGCCUAGGCUCUACUGCCAGUCACUGGAGACAGACGGACUUUGAUCGGACCUGACAAAACUGUUCGCCACGGUAGGCCUUGGUCUGACCCCAUCUGAAUUCCAAUUUCUGCAUGCAUUUCUUCUAGUGAUUGUUAGAGAUUUAAUAAAGAUUGCUGUUUGGCUUACUUGGCAA